AUGCGAACGACAAGAAUGGAGGCAACACCAUGUCGGCCUAGUUAGGAAUCGUCAAAAUCUGAAGAUAACAUUGUUUUAUAGUAGGCAUGAUAGGUUGUGCCAGCAUCACUUACACCAUCCCCUAACUUGGUCGCUCACAUGGACUUGAACAAUGUGCGAAGGGAUGCCACAAUGUUGAGGACACAACAGCUACUGACAGCAGACUGCAAGGAGUACACUGAUCUUUUCAGCACUUGCAACACCCAUAAGGAGCAUAAAACUUUAGCAGGCCACAUACUUCAACAGUAUAUGCAGGAUGUUCUGUGCUUGAUCCCAGCCUUGCACACUGUGGAUUUUUUCUUCAGCGAAGCAAUAUUUAGUGUUAAUAAAGUUAUGUUACAGGAAAGAAAUCACAAGCUUACUUUAUAUUGCAAUUUCCUCAUUCAUUUCAUCUUACCUCCUUGAAAACUGAAGUAGUUGAUUUUAAAGAAUGAAGAUUUUAGGAGGCGUUCUUUAACCACCAAUAUUAAUGCCAGAGUCCACAGGUCAAGUAUCAUGAUGAUUAGUGCACAUUACACAUUUCAUCUGUGUCACAUAAUGUUGUACAUGAGUACCUGCAGAAUCUUUAAGAACUCUGCUCUAUUCCAUAUCUUUGGGGAUAACACUGCCCUCAGUUAUGCCACCUACAUAAAAGCCUGUCGUGAAUAUGGACAAAUUCAACUAAUAAAGAAAGGCGUCUUACAGGAUGUUUUAAUGAACUCUCAAUUUUAUUUGACAAAAUUGAUAGAGACAACUUUGAAACUAUUAUAUAAUAAAUGAGGUGCUUGAAAAAAAAUA